GGUUAAGUUAGAAAGGGCGCACGGUGGAUGCCUUGACACUAGGAGUCGAUGAAGGACGGGACUAACGCCGAUAUGCUUCGGGGAGCUGUAAGUAAGCUUUGAUCCGAAGAUUUCCGAAUGGGGAAACCCACCAUACGUAAUGGUAUGGUAUCCUUAUCUGAAUACAUAGGGUAAGGAAGACAGACCCAGGGAACUGAAACAUCUAAGUACCUGGAGGAAGAGAAAGCAAAUGCGAUUUCCUGAGUAGCGGCGAGCGAAACGGAACAUAGCCCAAACCAAGAGGCUUGCCUCUUGGGGUUGUAGGACAUUCUAUACGGAGUUACAAAGGAACGAGGUAGACGAAGCGACCUGGAAAGGUCCGUCGUAGAGGGUAACAACCCCGUAGUCGAAACUUCGUUCUCUCUUGAAUGUAUCCUGAGUACGGCGGAACACGUGAAAUUCCGUCGGAAUCUGGGAGGACCAUCUCCCAAGGCUAAAUACUCCCUAGUGAUCGAUAGUGAACCAGUACCGUGAGGGAAAGGUGAAAAGCACCCCGGAAGGGGAGUGAAAGAGAUCCUGAAACCGUGUGCCUACAAAUAGUCAGAGCCCGUUAACGGGUGAUGGCGUGCCUUUUGUAGAAUGAACCGGCGAGUUACGAUCCCGUGCGAGGUUAAGCUGAAGAGGCGGAGCCGCAGCGAAAGCGAGUCUGAAUAGGGCGUUUAGUACGUGGUCGUAGACCCGAAACCAGGUGAUCUACCCAUGUCCAGGGUGAAGUUCAGGUAACACUGAAUGGAGGCCCGAACCCACGCACGUUGAAAAGUGCGGGGAUGAGGUGUGGGUAGCGGAGAAAUUCCAAUCGAACCUGGAGAUAGCUGGUUCUCCCCGAAAUAGCUUUAGGGCUAGCCUUAAGUGUAAGAGUCUUGGAGGUAGAGCACUGAUUGGACUAGGGGUCCUCAUCGGAUUACCGAAUUCAGUCAAACUCCGAAUGCCAAUGACUUAUCCUUAGGAGUCAGACUGCGAGUGAUAAGAUCCGUAGUCAAAAGGGAAACAGCCCAGACCGCCAGCUAAGGUCCCAAAGUGUGUAUUAAGUGGAAAAGGAUGUGGAGUUGCUUAGACAACUAGGAUGUUGGCUUAGAAGCAGCCACCAUUUAAAGAGUGCGUAAUAGCUCACUAGUCGAGUGACUCUGCGCCGAAAAUGUACCGGGGCUAAAUACACCACCGAAGCUGCGGAUUGAUACCAAUGGUAUCAGUGGUAGGGGAGCGUUCUAAGGACAGUGAAGUCAGACCGGAAGGACUGGUGGAGUGCUUAGAAGUGAGAAUGCCGGUAUGAGUAGCGAAAGACGGGUGAGAAUCCCGUCCACCGAAUGCCUAAGGUUUCCUGAGGAAGGCUCGUCCGCUCAGGGUUAGUCAGGACCUAAGCCGAGGCCGACAGGCGUAGGCGAUGGACAACAGGUUGAUAUUCCUGUACCACCUCUUUAUCGUUUGAGCAAUGGAGGGACGCAGAAGGAUAGAAGAAGCGUGCGAUUGGUUGUGCACGUCCAAGCAGUUAGGCUGAUAAGUAGGCAAAUCCGCUUAUCGUGAAGGCUGAGCUGUGAUGGGGAAGCUCCUUAUGGAGCGAAGUCUUUGAUUCCCCGCUGCCAAGAAAAGCUUCUAGCGAGAUAAAAGGUGCCUGUACCGCAAACCGACACAGGUAGGCGAGGAGAGAAUCCUAAGGUGUGCGAGAGAACUCUGGUUAAGGAACUCGGCAAAAUGACCCCGUAACUUCGGGAGAAGGGGUGCUUUCUUAACGGAAAGCCGCAGUGAAUAGGCCCAAGCGACUGUUUAGCAAAAACACAGCUCUCUGCGAAGCCGUAAGGCGAAGUAUAGGGGGUGACACCUGCCCGGUGCUGGAAGGUUAAGGAGAGGGGUUAGCGUAAGCGAAGCUCUGAACUGAAGCCCCAGUAAACGGCGGCCGUAACUAUAACGGUCCUAAGGUAGCGAAAUUCCUUGUCGGGUAAGUUCCGACCCGCACGAAAGGUGUAACGAUUUGGGCACUGUCUCAACCAGAGACUCGGUGAAAUUAUAGUACCUGUGAAGAUGCAGGUUACCCGCGACAGGACGGAAAGACCCCGUGGAGCUUUACUGUAGCCUGAUAUUGAAUUUUGGUACAGUUUGUACAGGAUAGGCGGGAGCCUUUGAAACCGGAGCGCUAGCUUCGGUGGAGGCGCUGGUGGGAUACCGCCCUGACUGUAUUGAAAUUCUAACCUACGGGUCUUAUCGACCCGGGAGACAGUGUCAGGUGGGCAGUUUGACUGGGGCGGUCGCCUCCUAAAGUGUAACGGAGGCGCCCAAAGGUUCCCUCAGAAUGGUUGGAAAUCAUUCGUAGAGUGCAAAGGCAUAAGGGAGCUUGACUGCGAGACCUACAAGUCGAGCAGGGAC
rnacentral:rRNA from 2 species